CCUGGUUGAUUCUGCCAGUAGUCAUAUGCUUGUCUCAAAGAUUAAGCCAUGCAUGUCUAAGUAUAAGCAAAAUAUACUGCGAAACUGCGAAUGGCUCAUUAAAUCAGUUAUCGUUUAUUUGAUAGUACCAGUCUACAUGGAUACCUGUGGUAAUUCUAGAGCUAAUACAUGCGUAAAGUCCCGACUUUGGAAGGGAUGUAUUUAUUAGAUAAAAAGCCAAUGCCCUUUUGGGCUUCUUGGUGAAUCAUGAUAACUUUUCGAAUCGCAUGGCCUUGAGCCGGCGAUGGUUCAUUCAAAUUUCUGCCCUAUCAACUUUCGAUUGGUGAGUAGUGUUCACCAAUGGUUACGACGGGUAACGAAGAAUUAGGGUUCGAUCUCGGAGAGGUAGCCUGAGAAACGGCUUCCACAUCCAAGGAAGGCAGCAGGCGCGCAAAUUACCCAAUCCCAAUACGGGGAGGUAGUGACAAUAAAUACUGAUGCAGGGCUCUUUUGGGUCUUGCAAUUGGAAUGAGUACAAUUUAAACCCCUUAACGAGGAACAAUUGGAGGGCAAGUCUGGUGCCAGCAGCCGCGGUAAUUCCAGCUCCAAUAGCGUAUAUUAAAGUUGUUGCAGUUAAAAAGCUCGUAGUUGAAGUUUGGGUCUGGCGAUCUGGUCCGCCUCACCGCGAGAACUGGAAUCGCUGGGCCUUUCUUUCUGGGGAAACCCAUGGCCUUUAGUGGCCGUGUGGGGGAACCAGGACUUUUACUUUGAAAAAAUUAGAGUGUUCAAAGCAGGCCUUUGCUCGAAUACAUUAGCAUGGAAUAAUGAAAUAGGACGGCUCUUCUAUUUUGUUGGUUUCUAGGGGAGCCGUAAUGAUUAAUAGGGACAGUCGGGGGCAUCAGUAUUCCGUUGUCAGAGGUGAAAUUCUUGGAUUUACGGAAGACUAACUACUGCGAAAGCAUUUGCCAAGGAUGUUUUCAUUAAUCAAGAACGAAAGUUAGGGGAUCGAAGACGAUCAGAUACCGUCGUAGUCUUAACCAUAAACUAUGCCGACUAGGGAUCGGCGGGCGUUUUUUUCUUGACCCCGUCGGCACCUUACGAGAAAUCAAAGUUUUUGGGUUCUGGGGGGAGUAUGGUCGCAAGGCUGAAACUUAAAGAAAUUGACGGAAGGGCACCACCAGGAGUGGAGCCUGCGGCUUAAUUUGACUCAACACGGG
rnacentral:rRNA from 1 species